rnacentral:lncRNA from 12 species
GCUCUGUACCCCUCAGACGUGCACCAUGUAUUGUAAGACGGAUUCCUUUUUGGUCACAUUCCUCCUCCUUUUGUUUUCCUCACUGAGCUGGUCCUGACUCGGUUCUUCUUUUGAAACUAGAGCAAAGAAGGGAAACUCCCGGGGGUGAGCGGGGUGCAUCUGUCUCCCCCCGGUCUUCCUCAUCACAUUGGCUCCAGGGACGCAAGAGCCUGAUCCGCUUCCCGUACUUGCAGGGGAGGCAGGUGAGACCUGCACACCGUCUGCCUUCAGGUGCACCGGUGGGAACAGGCACAGGUGUGUGAGCGUGCCCCCCGCCGGCGUCCUUGACCAGAAACAUGACUUCCAGUUCCUGCACCCUUGGAAACUCAGAGCUUUCCUAACAGCUCUUGCCUUCCCGCUGGGGAUGGGGCCAAGGGGGCUCCCCAACCCCAGGACCGCCUGCGGGGCCAAGUCCACUCUGCCUUCCCGUGUCUGCUGCUCCGACGUCCUGGGCCUGGCGUGUGACAACCCGAGCCGGGUUUACUUUCCUGGGGAGGUGACAAAACCAAACCCGGAGAUCAAGCUGUAUCUCUCAUCGCAAACAGAGGGACAAACGGAAACUGAGUUCUGGGGACACUAUAUGGGUGGUGGAAGAGCCACAGUUCACCCAGAAGAAAUUCCAUCGUCUUAAAAAACAUGAAGAACACGAUAAAGACAUAACUUAUAGUCAGUCACGUGGUCAGGCCGACAGCCAGUGGAGUGGGAAGUUGGCUCCACUCACAGGAAGCCAUGGCAAAGGAGAACGAGAAGGAAGGUCUGCAAGCAAAUGACAUGUUGCUCCAAGGCACCAAUGGAAAGGGCUUGAACGCAGAAGACGUGGGGAGAAUAAGCUCAAGCAGGAGUCUUCCCUGUGGACUCCUGUUGGAGAAAAAGAGGUGAGAGCUCUUGUGGGCACAUCUGAGCUUGUAGGUGUGGGGCUGGGAGGAGGUGGAUGCUUUGCCCCGUGCCCUCUGCUAUCUCCGCAGAGGACUGGGUGAGUCAUCCCUUGG